GGCUCCAUUCAUGUGAAAGUGAAACCGAUGUGCUGCAGAGGGAUUCUCUCUUUAACUUAUUCAAUUAUUAUGUUAAAUGGCAUAUAUUUUCUCUUUUUCCUUCACUUUAUUUUCAGUUUUCAUUAGCCAUUCAAUAGCCAUUUGCUGUCACUCAAAGCCUCAACUCUCUCUUAAGUCUCAAGUCUCAGCCAUUUUCUCUCAAUUCUCAAAC
rnacentral:misc_RNA from 1 species